rnacentral:rRNA from 1 species
GACGGAAGGGUGCAAGCGUUGCUCGGAAAUCAUCUGGGCGUAAAAGGGGUGCGUAGGCGGCCCGUGCAAAGUCUGGCGUGAAAAGCCCCCCGGGCUCAGCCCCGGGGAAGUGCGCUUCGAAAACUGCGCGGCUCGAGUGCCGGAGGGGAGAGUGGAAAUUCCUGGUGUAGCGGUGAAAUGCGUAGAUAUCAGGAGGAAUACCGGUGGCGAAAGCGGCCUGCUGGGGCAGUUGCUGACACUGAUGCGCGACAGCGUGGGGGAGCAAACAGG